AAAACAUUUUAUUUAAUUUUCAUGCUUUUUUAAUCAAAAAAGUUAAAAGAAUAAUAAUCUUUUAUGGGCAGUUAUAAAUGUGCUAUUUACACACAAGACAGAAAUAUCUCCCUUAGCUGAGCAAUCUAAGUGUGUGCUUAGAGAGGACUCCACAAGAAUACUAAUGAGAAAAGGCAGAAUAUGCUUGGAGACAACUUAAUUCAUUCUUCUGGGAAAUGUCUGUCUAGGUGGAGUGGGAUUCUCCAGGUUCAUUCCUCAGCCCUACCAGCCUCUGCAGAUGGGAGGGACUUGGCGGUGAGCACCUGGUAGUUGUAGGGCUGCUGUCUGGGCCAUCUUUCCAUCCCUGGAGCCUCACUUGGUGUCUGUCAUGUGGAAGGCAUGCAGGAAAUGUGUGUCGGAUAAGUGAGUAAACGGCUGAGUGAAGGAUUCUCCAUACUCUCCCUUGGCAGUCCAAGAUGAGAUCUGUACACAUUCUUUUUUUUUUUUUUUUUCCACAUUGCCAUUGGAGAUAGAAGCAGCAGACACAGCUGAGCUCCUGGCUUGGUGAAGGGCACACCAAGGGGAUGUGGGGUGCUGGGAUGUUUGCCAACUGUUUUUCACUUUUGUGAGAAUCAUUAUUUACCUAUUGCUUGAUUCAGAAUCCCAGACCUAGAAGGACUUUAGAAACUUGAAGUUCAGCUUUUUUACUUUACAAGAUGAAUGACAGUCAAAGUGAGGAAACUCCUUGAUAAAGGACAAAGCCAAGACUUGAAUCCCGGUAUCCUGCUCACUCCUAACUAGGAGUCUGGGGAUAAAACACUCUGGAAACCCAAGGAAACUGGACAAAGUCCUCUACAUCCAUGGGCCACACAUGUGGAUAAAGAGAGAUGCCAUCCUAUCUCUGCCUGGAAAGGAGACCCAGCCACACACACAGAACUGGUCUAGCUGAGGACUUCUGACAAACAUCUCCCCGUGGCAUUCACUUAUUCAUUCAUAGUUACCGAGUACCUACCAUGAGCCAAACACAAUGACAGCUGGAAAUUCAGAGAGCAAAGCCAGAGUCCCUACUCUCAAGGACAGCCCAGUCUAGAGAGGAAGACAGUUUCCUGGCUGUGUUGUGGUGAGACACACACCAAAGGGAGCUUGGGAACUUGAGGAAGAUGUCACCUAUUGGGGAGCACUCACUGUGUUCCAGACACUGAAUGAGAGCAUCUGUAUCUCUUCCACUUCUUAUUAAAGAAGCUGCUGAAAGCCAGAGUGGGAUGAGCCUCCUGCAACGACGUCCAGAUCCUCCCAGAAGUGACUUCUAGGCAGUGGCUGCCACCAUCCAUGAAUUAACGGAUCAUUGCCAUUUCUGUGGAAGAGUUUGUCCCAUGAGAACCACUGUACUGCACAUAGGCUGUUGCCCCCAGUUGCCUUAAACAAACAGAACCAUCUCCAGGAGGCUGUGCACUCCUUUGUAAGAGGUAAGUUCUGAAGAGGCAAGGAAGUAAGAAAGCAUAGGUUUGCAGAGGACGCUGCCCAUGGAGGCAGCUGGAGGAGGGAAAAGCAUAGUCCUCCAAACUGCCAUGAGGUUUGGAGGAGUAAUUAGCAUAAUUGUCAUUAUUCUGUGUUGCCUGAGCAAUGUGAAUGGGAUC